UACGAAGGGGGCUAGCGUUGCUCGGAAUCACUGGGCGUAAAGCGCACGUAGGCGGACUCUUAAGUCGGUGGUGAAAUCCUGGAGCUCAACUCCAGAACUGCCUCCGAUACUGCGAGUCUCCGAGUCCGGGAGAGGUGAGUGGAACUGCGAGUGUAGAGGUGAAAUUCGUAGAUAUUCGCAAGAACACCGGUGGCGAAAGCGGCUCUCUGGCCCGGUUCUGACGCUGAGGCGCGAAAGCGUGGGGAGCAAACAGG
rnacentral:rRNA from 1 species